UACGAAGGGGGCUAGCGUUGCUCGGAAUCACUGGGCGUAAAGCGCACGUAGGCGGAUCUUUAAGUCAGGGGUGAAAUCCUGGAGCUCAACUCCAGAACUGCCUUUGAUACUGGGGAUCUCGAGUCCGGGAGAGGUGAGUGGAACUCCGAGUGUAGAGGUGAAAUUCGUAGAUAUUCGCAAGAACACCAGUGGCGAAGGCGGACUCACUGGCCCGAUACUGACGCUGACGACGCGAAAGCGUGGGUAGCAAACGAGG
rnacentral:rRNA from 1 species